rnacentral:rRNA from 1 species
GACGAACGCUGGCGGCGUGCCUAAUACAUGCAAGUCGAACGCUUCUUUUCUACCGAGUGCUUGCACUCACUUGAAAAGAGGAGUGGCGGACGGGUGUGUAACACGUGGGUAACCUGCCCAUCAGAGGGGGAUAACACUUGGAAACAGGUGCUAAUACCGCAUAACAGUCGACACCGCAUGGUGUUGAUUUGAAAGACGCUUUCGGGUGUCACUGAUGGUUGGACCCGCGGUGUAUUAGCUAGUUGGUGAGGUAACGGCUUACCAAGGCCAUGAUGCAUAGCCGACCUGAGAGGGUGAUCGGCCACACUGGGGCUGAGACACGGCCCAGACUCCUGCGGGAGGCAGCAGUAGGGAAUCUUCGGCAAUGGACGAAAGUCUGACCGAGCAACGCCGCGUGAGUGAAGAAGGUUUUCGGAUCGUAGACCUCUGUCUCCGGUGAAGAAACAAAUGACGGUAACCGGGGAGGAAGCCACGGCUAACUACGUGCCAGCAGCCGCAGUAACAC